rnacentral:lncRNA from 1 species
AGACAUAGAGAAGUCAAGCCAUGUGCCUAGGGUCACACAGCCAGAUAAUGCCAGAGCUGAAACUGGAAAUUAGGCCUCUUCUCUUCCACUCUGGUUCUCUUCCCCACAUGGCCCCAUCCCUCUAGGUACAACAGAGAUAACUUGACCUACUUUACCCAGCCAAGCAGAGUGCAAGAGCCUAGACAGAGACUGAGUUCUCUUCAAUCCCUUGACCAGAUUUUCUUUGACUCCUCAUCAGUGCAAGGUUCUAAGGCUGGAAAUCAUGGUGGAAUCAGGCUUCUGUGUUUGUCCAAAGCUCCUGAGGAGGAUAAGCAGACCAGCACAGUGGUCACCCCACAGUGUAGAGCUUUCAUGUGUCCCUUCACCCUCCUGCCUCCAUGGGUCUCAGGGACUCCCUGCCACAGGCCCUCUAAAGAAAGCUCCUACGCCUGUCACAGCACCUCUUCCUCUGCUUGGCUCUGUCUCCAGCUAGCUGUGGGAGCUGGGGCCAGGCAGGUCACUCCCACCCAAGGCUUUUAAUGAGAAGUUUUGUCAUGCCCAGGCAGCAAAGAUGAAUAAUUCAGUGAAGGAUCCCAGGAAAUGUUAUUCUUUAAGAGAAGAUUCCCCUGACAGUGGAAGAGGCAAAGAAGGACUGCAUCUUAUUAUGGGAGGAAUGGAGGUGGGGUGACAGUGGUACUAAGGAAGAAGAGGAGGAGAAAGGCUACACAGGAGUCCCUAACAGAAUUCCUAAAGAUCUUUACCCAAGCCACUCUGCCAUUUAUGUUUUAAGAUAUUAUUUGUUUAUUCAUGAGAGAGAGAGAGAGAGAGAGAGAAGUAGAGACACAGGCAGAGGGAGAAGCAGGCUCCAUGCUGGGAGCCCGAUGUGGGACUCUAUCCUGGGUCUCCAGGAUCAGGCCCUGGGCUGAAGGUGGUGCUAAACCACUGAGCCACCCAGGCUGCCCUACUUUGCCACUUAGACUUUAAGCCUACUGAGGCUGGUGCAAAUCCCUAGUAAUCUGUUGCCUUUUGCCCCAUUAAACAGUGAUCUCUUUAAGACCAGUGCCUACUUCCAGAGAGCAGGGUUGUAAUCUCUAGGGGCGAUGGCCUAUUUUCUUUAUUUAUUGGACUUUAAAAAUGAUUAAGAGUGUUCAGAAAGGAAAGAGAACAGAUGGGUAGAAUGAGUGACAUGCAUUUCUGGUCCUCAUUUAGGUGCCAGGGAAUAGAAACAAACUCAAAGAUGCCGUUGCCAGCUUGCACUGAAUAUGAGCACAUAUCCCUCCCUAGUGUGGGGGUGGCAGCAUGGAGAGGGAAGGCUAAUUCUUAGAUAGCACCUUUGAGGAGAAGGCAUCAAAAGAUUUUCCUGCAUGGUGAUGUGCUUCUGGCAGCGCAUGAAAGAUGCCAAGCUUCCUCCCAGUUAGCAAAUUGGGAUGUAGCACUAGGGCCCUAGAUCAUUCUUGUUUGAAUAGAAGGCUGCAGUCCUUUAGUGAGAAUUAGCACAUCACACAAAACAAAGUUUCCAAUGCUUUAAGGAGACCCAGUGGCUUACACUCUGGGGUUUUAGAGUUGGGGCUCCUGGGUAGCUCAGCCUGUUAAGUGUCCAACUCUUGAUUUCUGCUCAGGUCAUGAUCUCAGGGUUGUGAGAAAGAGCGCCACUUUGGGCUUUGCACUCAGUGUAGAGUUUGCUUGAAAUUCUCUUUCCCUCUCCCUUUGCCCCUCCCCCCAUAAACUCUCUCUCUUUCUAAAAUAAAUAAAAUAUUUUUUUAAAAAAGAAUCAGAAAGUAGGGAAUUUUAGGCCCAGCUCUACUACUUGGUUGUGGGAUCUUAGGCAAUUUGUAUUACCUCCUUGAAUCUUAGUGUCCUUAUCUGUAAAGUAAAUAAUAGUAAUAGAACACCCUCUUUUGAUUGCUUUGAGGACUAUAGGAGAGAUUUAAGUGUUUUGUGAAUUAUAACAUUUUUGUAUCUGUGUAAGGGAUAUUGAUUAGUAGAAAGGCACACUUAGCAACCCAUAUUCUCACCUGGGCCUCUUCUGACAAACUGAUUUGCAAAUGUUGGGAAUAAAGUAUGUGGCCCAAGAACUAUCUCUCUGAAAAGCUGACAUUUGGGGAAGCCAAAUAGUGACCUUAAUCUCAAUAGCACUUCCCCAACACUAGAGGUAUAGAGAAGCAGUCUUUGAAUUCUAAUUGAUGUGGGUUAGGUACCAGACUUCACCUCUUAUUAACCAUGUGAAUUUGGAAUAGUUAAUUAACGUCCUUGAACCUCAUUAUUCUCACCUAUGUAAUGAAAUUUAAUAAUAGUGUCUACCCCUUAGUGUUGUCAUAAGAUUUAAAUUAGUGUGUGCCUAGGAAAUACUUAACAUAGGCCUUGGUACAUAGUAAUCAUUCAAUAAGGUAAGCUUCAGAUGCUGCUGCUAUUAUUUUAAAUGAUUAACAAACUCUGAGAUCAUACACGUAGUAGGCAUCAUUCAAAGAAAUCUUCACUGAAUACCUACUAUGUGCAAAGCAGGGAUUGAAGACAUGAUGGUGAAUAAAAUCAGAUGUGACACCUGCCUGUCCUCAUGGAUUUUAGUGACUUUUAAUAAUGUUUGGUGAAUGAGUGAGUGAGUGAAAGCAAGAUUCCACCCUGACUCAGAAAUUAAUAAUUCAAAGUUAUUAAGGUCUUAGAUGUUGAAGCCAAAGGAGAAAUGAUCAUUUUUCCAAAAUCUGGGACUCAGCUGCUCACUAAAGGAAUGGGAAGUAUGUGCAGAUGGUUUCAGGCACAGGAGGACAUACAGAGGAAGAAAGAUAAUGUUUUUAAGGAGGAAAGUGUCCAGUUCCCUUUGCAAUAGGGGCAACCAAACCUACUAAGAACGAAUUGAACGAGUAACACAACACUAGCUGUGGACCUGAAUAAAACUCCUGAGGCAGUUCCUCCCCAGCUUACUGUUUCCCCUUUCCUUGUCAAAACAUGCAUUUAGGAAAGGAUCUCAGAAUUCAGUUACACUCCUGCGGUGUAGGACCAGUAUGAACUACCUAAGGACUAGCCUCAGGUCUGAUUUCUGAGGCAAGGCUCAGCUUAUCAUGGGAGUCAGUAAAUCUACCCUAGCUCCAUACCCAGCUUCAGCCUCAGUUUCCUAGGAAAGGUAGUUGCCAGAGUAGUCACCAGUGAGAGUUAUCGAGCCUCUGAUACGACUUGAAGGACUGCUCACUUUGGCAGUUGGCUAUCUGUCCACAGGGAUCAAUGCCCUUUUGUGGAAAGACUGAACCAAACAAAGGCAGUACAAUGUUACCUUUGGGAAGCCUGACAUGGCAGAGUUGGAUGUCAGAGGAGCUGAGUUGCCAGGAACUUUUCCUAAGGAGUGUACUCCAUGUUUCUGGGGAGAGUUAUAUGCUCACCAAUGACCAGCUACAAUAACCUCCCACCACCACCUGGGCAAGGUGAAAGUGGAUACCCUACUGACUUUUACUUUUUUUCUCCUUCUGCUUUUGGCCAAAGAAGGAGCAAAUCACUUUGGAUUGCAAAGGGCUGACUGCUACCCCCACAUAUCAAAAGGAUCCCUCAUACUAUAGAGGCUUGUCUGAGGGGAUUAGAGAAAAGAGUGGGGAGGGCUGGCCUUCACCAGGACCUUUGAGGGUUAAUCCAAGUUGGCACUGGAAGCCUUUACCACCUUCCUUUUUUUUUUUUUUUUUUCUUUACCACCUUCCUGAGAGAGAGUUCUGGAAAGAUAUUACCUAAUGAAAACCUGCCAUCCCUUACCUCAGUGUUCCCUUUCUUCCCUCUGCUGCUUCCCCCUCCUUCAACUUCCACAUUUCCCUAGGACCAGUUUAAUUUGCCUAGUAUUGAAAUCAUCCCAGGCAAAACUGUCAGCCUCUGCUCUUUACUAACAACUGGAUUGAGGAUUGAGGAGGCCUGGAGGUUUACUGGUUGCUAUGGUGAGGAACAGGCCCUGAGAGGAUUAAGGAGCUGGGAGUUUGAGCUUUUUUGUUUGUUGGUUUUGAUGAGUUCUGUUUGCUUUUCUUUCCCAACCCUGCUUCCCCUUCAUUCCCCUCCCCCCAACCCCUCCAAACUCUCAAAUCUCUAAAGCAGAAGGAUAUUACUAGGAGCAAAAUCAGAGCCUGAUGCAGGCUCUGCUAAGAAAAAUCAGUGCAUAUUUUGCAAUGAGGACUCCUGGGAGGGCCAAGUUUGGAUCCCAAGAUAUUUCACAUUUGUAGCGUGGUGCAGCAUUCUGAGGCAGAGGGGAAAACUGGUGAGGUAGGAGGGUUUGCUGGAGCUCUCUGAAACCUCCAGAGUUUUUCCUUUCUGGCCACAGAAUAGGAAAGGCAUAGAUAAACUCAAAGCCAGGAGUUUGAGUGGAGGGAGGCUUCUGGAAACAGGGAAGCAGCUCAGUUCUGGCAUUAGGGAGCUUUUAUCCAGUGUUUCUCACACCCCCAAGAUCCUUUUUAUCUGGAGUCCAAGCAUCCAGUCCACAUCUCCCUCCCUUCCCACUGGUGAACAAUGUAGAGCAUAUUUGUGGAGAAAAUGUGGAUUUCAAAAGGGCUUUGAAGGUAUUAUAUUGUUGUUGUUCUAGAAAUAGUUCCCUCCAAUUCAGUUAAUUGCUCUGAGAAGGAAGACAGCUGAUUCAGAGAGAUUUUGUGGUCUGGGUGCCUGGACUCUAGUCAAAAGUGACCUUGCUUCCUUCUUAAUUGGCACCCCGGGGCUGAGAAGCUAUAUGAAGGGAGAGCUAGGAAGGAAACCCUGAGUGCACCAGCAAGGCCAGAUCAUGGCAAAUGGUGAUGUCUCAGUGGCUCCUAUGUCCUCUUUCAUCCUGUGGCAACUGCAUAAAGCUAGCUUGAUUGGAUAAUCAUCUCAGGGUGAAGGUAUCAAAUGGCAUCCCUUUACUCCUAGACCAGACUCUUCAUCCAUACUAACUUGAGAAUAAGGACCCUGCUCCCUUUUUAACUCUCCAAACUUUUUUCUUAGCACCAAGGUCUUUAUUUAUCUUCACCUAGGUGGUGUUGUGUGAAUACUCUCAAGUCUUUGUUCUCCCAGCUAGAUGGCAUGUUUCAUGCAGACUAGUUUUAUGUCAAAAACUCCACUAUGGUCCCUCUUCAGGACUUUGGAACACAGAGGAGCUUGGUAAAUGGGUCUUGGCUUACUGCUCAAGAACCAAGGGUCACACAAAAGGUCCAUGCUAUGUAAAACCAGAAUAAUGUAGCAAUAGCAGGAAAAUCUGCUUAUUAUGUAAAAAAUAAGAUUAAAUACUCAUCUCAUGUCAUAUAAAAAUAAACUUUAGAGGUAUUGAAGAUUUAAAUAUGACAGGCAAAACUAGGCAAAGUAAAAAAUGUAGAAAGAAAUCUUUGCAGCAUUGGGGUAGAAAGGUUUUCUUACCAUGUGGAGAGCACAUACAUCAUAAAGACAAAAGUAGAUGGAUUUGAUUAACAUCCAUUAAAAGUAUUCUUUUCUACAGAGGACACAAUGGGCAAAUCAUAGGUGACAGAUUUCGAGAAAAUAUUUGUAAAGUAUAUGAACAAAAAAGGUUAAUAUCCAGAAUACGUAGGGUAAGAAAGAGGUGGAAAAUCUGAUAAAGAAAACAGCAAACAUACAAAUAGGCAACUUACAGAAGGGGAGGCUCAAAUAAGUGGAUCAUGAUUAUCUGAAGAAAUGGCCAACCUCAUAAUUUGGGAAAGGCAAAUUAAAAGAGCAGGGAGAUACCCUUUUGUACCCAUCAGACUGGCAAAACAUUUAAAAAGAGUAAGAUAAUAGCAAGUGUUGGUAACAAUGUAGGGAAACAGGGAUCCUCAUGCAUUGCUAGGAAUUAUGUGAAUUAAUAUAACCAUUUUGGGGAGGAAUUUGGACGUGCUUAGAAAAUUUAAAUUUUUCAUGACCCAUGAGAGAGCAAUUCCACUUCUUUUACAUGCCCCAUGAGAGAGUAGUUAUCCUCCAGUAACUACUCUCACAGGUACACAAAGUAGCUUGUAUGAAAAUGUUCAUCACAAUAUUGCAAUAGAGAGGAAUUGGAAAUAACCUAAAUGCCCAUCAAUAGGGGAAUGGAUACAUAAAAUGUAAAAUAUACAAAUCAUGGAAUACUAUGCAGCAAAGUGAACACACUAGAUCCAUAGAUGAAAACCUAAUAAGCUCUCUAUAAUUAUGAAACUGCA